AAAUAAUUUUUUAUCUUAUACAUUCAAUUUUCUAAUACAAUUUAACUAUCUAUUUCAUAAAAAACUCGAUUUUAAUUCUACACACUUCAUCUUACUUGAUAAUGAUUUCAUGUCAAAAUAAUAUAUAUAUAUAUAUGAGAUCAAAUCUAUAUCUUAGUUAAUAUUAAAAAUUAUUAACAAUUAACAAAACAUAAUUCAUAAUAAUAAAACAUUUGUUAAUACCAUAUAUAUUAAAAAUUUGACCAAUAACAUAUAUAAUUUUUUUUGAUGAUAUUUGAAGUCUAAAUAGUAACCUACACACUUUUUCUUUAUUAUAAUUUAGUAUUUAGAAGAAAAAAAUA
rnacentral:sRNA from 1 species